rnacentral:rRNA from 1 species
AGCUCCAAUAGGAUAUAUCAAAGUUGUUGCAGUUGAAAAGCUCGUAGUCGUAUUUUUGGCGGGUUGAUGUCUCUUGCUCGCUUGGCGCAAGCCAGGUGUCUCGGGGCCGCCUGUCAUUUUGUGGGCUCAAGUGGCCAGGCUGUGGUUUACUCCAUGACCUGGUCGCUCCACUCCGUCACUGAGAGCAAAUUGGAGUGCUCAAAGCAGGCUUUACAGCUUUGAACAUUUUAGCUUGGAAUGACAAAGUAUGACCAUUUGUUCACUUUGUUGGUUAUGAACGGGAGGUAAUGAUAAAUAGGAACAGUUGCGGGGGUACUCGUACUGGAAAGUCAGAGGUGAAAUUCUUGGAUUUUUCCACGACGAACGACUGCGAAAGCAUUUAUCAAGGAUGUUUUCA